CUCGUAGGUGGUUUGUCGCGUUGUUCGUGAAAACUCACAGCUUAACUGUGGGCGUGCGGGCGAUACGGGCAGACUAGAGUACUGCAGGGGAGACUGGAAUUCCUGGUGUAGUGGUGGAAUGCGCAGAUAUCAGGAGGAACACCGGUGGCGAAGGCGGGUCUCUGGGCAGUAACUGACGCUGAGGAGCGAAAGCGUGGGGAGCGAACA
rnacentral:rRNA from 1 species